GAUGAGGUGGUGUAGCGGUUAGAACGCUGGCCUUGUAAUCCUGGGGUCUCGGGUUCGAUUCCCGGCGGUGUCC
rnacentral:tRNA from 1 species